AACGAACGCUGGCGGCAUGCCUAACACAUGCAAGUCGAACGAGACCUUCGGGUCUAGUGGCGCACGGGUGCGUAACGCGUGGGAACCUGCCCUUAGGUUCGGAAUAACUCCCCGAAAGGGGUGCUAAUACCGGAUAAUGUCUUCGGACCAAAGAUUUAUCGCCUUUGGAUGGGCCCGCGUUGGAUUAGCUAGUUGGUAGGGUAAAAGUCUACCAAGGCGACGAUCCAUAGCUGGUCUGAGAGGAUGAUCAGCCACACUGGGACCGAGACACGGCCCAGACUCCUGCGGGAAGCAGCAGUGGGGAAUAUUGGACAAUGGGCGAGAGCCUGAUCCAGCAAUGCCGCGUGAGUGAUGAAGGCCUUAGGGUUGUAAAGCUCUUUUACCCGGGAUGAUAAUGACAGUACCGGGAGAAUAAGCUCCGGCUAACUCCGUG
rnacentral:rRNA from 1 species